UACGUAGGGAGCAAGCGUUGUCCGGAAUCAUUGGGCGUAAAGCGCGCGUAGGCGGCCUCAUAAGUCCGUUGUGAAAGUCAAAGGCUCAACCUUUGAAAGCCGAUGGAUACUGUGAGGCUAGAGUACGGAAGAGGCGAGUGGAAUUCCUGGUGUAGCGGUGGAAUGCGCAGAUAUCAGGAGGAACACCGGUGGCGAAGGCGGAUCUCUGGGCCUUACCUGACGCUCAGGCACGAAAGCUAGGGGAGCGAACAGG
rnacentral:rRNA from 1 species